ACUCAAAUGAAUAGACGGGGUCCCGCACAAGCAGUGGAUCAUGUGGUUUAAUUCGAUGGUACACGAAGAACCUUACCGAGGCUUGACAUCCCUGGAAUCCCCUGGAAACAGGGGAGUGCCGCAAGGAAUCAGGUGACAGGUGCUGCAUGGCCGUCCUCAGCUCGUGUCGUGAGAUGUUGGGUUAAGUCCCGCAACGAGCGCAACCCUUGUCGUGUGUUGUAUUUUUCACGCGAGACUGCCCGGGCCAACCGGGAGGAAGGUGGGGAUGAUGUCAGGUCUGCAUGGCCCUUACGCCUCGGGCCACACACGUGAUACAAUGGCCGCCACAACGCGUUGCGAAGCUGUAAAGUGGAGCUAAUCGCAUCAAAAGCGGUCUCAGUUCGGAUUGAGGGCUGCAACUCGCCCUCAUGAAGCCGGAAUUGCUAGUAACCGUGGGUCAGCAUACCACGGUGAAUACGUUCCCGGGACUUGUACACACCGCCCGU
rnacentral:rRNA from 1 species